AAUCAAGCCUGGGCAAUGGCGGGCGCCCCUCCCCCAGCCUCGCUGCCGCCUUGCAGUUUGAUCUCAGACUGCUGUGCUAGCAAUCAGCGAGACUCCGUGGGCGUAGGACCCUCCGAGCCAGGUGCGGGAUAUAUUCUCGUGGUGCGCCGUUUUUUAAGCCCGUCGGAAAGGCGCAGUAUUUGGGUAGGAGUGACCCGAUUUUCCAGGUGCCGUCCGUCACCCCUUUCUUUGACUCAGAAAGGGAACUCCCUGACCCCUUGCGCUUCCCAAGUGAGGCAAUGCCUCGCCCUGCUUCGGCUCGCGCAUGGUGCUCGCUCCCACUGACCUGCGCCCACUGUCUGGCACUCCCUAGUGAGAUGAACCCGGUACCUCAGCUGGAAAUGCAGAAAUCACCCGUCUUCUGCGUCGCUCACGCUGGGAGCUGUAGACUGGAGCUGUAGACAGGAGCUGUUCCUAUUCGGGCAUCUUGGCUCCUCCUUGACAAGCUUGAAGGUGAGCACCUCGAAGGGCUUCUUUUUAUGUUGAAAGGCACGGGUUUGCAUGGCGGUUCAUCAGAGGUCAAUACCCCAGUUUGAGAAAGUCCACUGUGGGGAGGAAAGAGAGACUUAAACAAGCCCUGGAAAAACAAAGAAUGGAACACCCCUCCGCUGACUUCAACCAACUGCCUGCUGAUGCGGCCUGACUCCCAGCCCUUUUUGCAGUUUUGAAGUGACAAACUGACUAGGCUACAAAGUAUUCAACCAUGGGCUGGUUCUGGCUGGUUCACCGAGGCUGUGUACAAAGUGUCUUCAUGUCCUGUGUUUCACCUUUUAACAUACAGAACCUAAUUUUACUGCAUUUUAAUGUUAAUUCUCCACUCGAAGGUGAACAUGGGAUGUAUGUAACACAUAUGUUUGCUUAUCAAGCACACAUAUGACCCCCUUUCAUGAAUAUUCAUAGUUCCCCCUGUGACCUGUUGAAUAUGUCUGUUUAGCCAACCUGUUUGGCAUAAAACUCCUAUCCCACCCUAUCUCCCUCAAAGUACCUGUUUGUGGUCUCAGCUGGAGGUGCCACUUCCCAGCCUGCAGUUUGCAACCCUUCUCAAGAAAUAAAGUCUUCCUUUCCAA